CCUGAUCCGUAUUCGGAAGCGGGUUCUUCAUACUCGCUUCUCCUUCCAUACUGGGGAGUGGGUUCUUCAUAUUCACUCUUUCUCCCAUACCCAGAUCCGUAUUCAGAACUUGGCUCUUGAUACUCACUCUUCCUCCCAUACCCAGAUCCAUAUUGGGGAGUGGGUUCUUCAUACUCACUCUUCCUCCCAUACCCAGAUCCAUACUCAGAACUAGGCUCUUCAUACUCACUCUUCCUUCCAUACCCAGAUCCAUACUGGGGUUUAGGCUCUUCGUACUCACUCUUUCUCCCAUACCCAGAUCCAUAUUCUGAUGUGGGCUCUUCUUCAUACUCACUCUUCCGUCCAUACCCAGAUCCAUAUUCACUUUCUCCGCCAGGGCGAUUCACCCCAGGCUGAAACCCAUAAUCAGCUUG
rnacentral:lncRNA from 1 species